CUGUGACAGGUGUCAAACAGAUGAUGAGCAGAGGGAAGCUUGUCAACCUGGAGCGUUUGUGGAACCCCUGGGGCAAAGGAGAGUGGAACGGAGACUGGAGUGAUCGGUCCUCGUUGUGGCAAACCGUGAGCUCUCAGGAUCGGGAACUCUGCCUUUCAGUGGCUGAUGAUGGAGAGUUCUAGAUGACCUUGGAAGAUCUCUAAGUUCUACGUAGAUCUUGACAUCUGUGGCACAAGUCCAGACUUCCUGGACAUGAACUCCUCUAGUCAGUGGAAGACCUCCAUGUACGAGGGCCGAUGGGUUGCAGGAACGACUGCUGGAGGCUGCAUGAAUAACAAAGACAGUUUCUGGACUAAUCCACAGCUUCGAGUGGAGAUUUGUGGUGAACAUUCAGAGAAAGAUGGUGAGAAAAACACACUUGUGUCUCUGAUGCAAAAACCUGACAAGAGGAACCGACGCCUGGUGCAAAACUUCCACAUUGGAUUCUUUGUUUUUGAGGUAAAUAUUGUUGUUUAUUGGACAGCACAGAGGGAUUAUGCAUACAUUUGUCACGAAUCAUGAAAAGAACUACAAAUAUGUGAAUAUUACUACAAGGCAAGUUUAUUUGUAUAGUCCAAAUAAGCCUUCCAAAUUUAACUUAUUACAAAAGCUAGUCACCAGGUAACCUAACAUGCAUGUUCAAACCUCCCCAACCAAGGCUCAAACAAGCGACCAUCUUGCUGUGAGGCUGCAGUGCUGACCACCACACCACCGUGCAGCCGUGGUUUAUUUAUCCUUAAUGUACAAAUAUAAAAUUAACACCCUCUGCUGCUGAUUACCAACAUCACACUCUAGCAGUGUGUUUCAGGCAGUGAUGAACCAUGGAACCCAGCAAGUUAACAGCUGUUCUGCAGUUUUCCCUAACAGCUCCUGAACCCAGUAUUUUUAGGUAGU